CAGUAGCCGCGGGAAUACGUAGGUGGCAAGCGUUGUCCGGAAUUAUUGGGCGUAAAGGGCUCGCAGGCGGUUUCUUAAGUCUGAUGUGAAAGCCCCCGGCUCAACCGGGGAGGGUCAUUGGAAACUGGGAAACUUGAGUGCAGAAGAGGAGAGUGGAAUUCCACGUGUAGCGGUGAAGUGCGUAGAGAUGUGGAGGAACACCAGUGGCGAAGGCGACUCUCUGGUCUGUAACUGACGCUGAGGAGCGAAAGCGUGGGGAGCGAACAGGAUUAGAUACCCCUGUAGUCCCUGUCUCUUAUAC
rnacentral:rRNA from 1 species